AUCUCAAAAACAUUACAUCAUAAAGUCCUUAUGAGGUGAGAUAAGCUUUGCUGUUCCUCAAUCACAGCUGAAGAAUAGAAACUCGGAGAAUAUACGUGAAUUUUCUGAAGCCCCAGAACAAAUAACUGGGAGAGGUGGGAUAUUUGCCAGGCUGUGCCUGACAUGAAGGUAAGCAUCCUUUCAAUCAGAUUUCACCCUUCGCAAGGGUGAGCAUCUUUGAUUCCUGAAAGUGAUAAUAAAACUGUCCAAGCGCCAGUGGCACCCCAUUUACCUGCCCCUUCCUGUCUCCCACUAGGGUGCUGCAGAAUCCCAUGUUCCAUUGAUUUCAUCCUGCAGGGCCUCAGAACCCACCCUUCCAGGCUUCUAGUAAGGGUUGCUUCUCAUCUCCUUCAGAUAGAUUUGUUGAGAGCCAAGGUAACAAGUUUACAGGUGAUACAUUUUGCCAGUGUCAUCUCUUCCUAUGUAAUAUAACCCUCUCAUAGUACUACGAAGUGUGCUGCUGCUUUCUUUGAAACCCCUCCCAGAAAUGUGUGCAGCAUCUUGCACCCUGAGUGUUCUGGGGCUUAAUGAAGAACUCGAUGUGUGGUCUUUUUCAGAAUGAGCGGUGUCGUUGGUACUGGUGAGUUUGUUGAGAGCAUUUCAACAAAUGAAAUUCGAAGCAUGCAGGUGGGACAAGCAGACCCAUCUGAUUCCGCUCACCAUCUACCCAGCAAGCUGCAUCAUUUCCUUAAAAAGAAUCUGCAACCCCUGGGUGUAGCUCAGAUAAUGAUUGGCCUGAAAUGCUGCUUAUUUGGGAUCAUUGAGAUUUUUUUUUACUGGUUCAUUAAUGACAGGAGUCUUUUAUUCUGCUUUUAUAUUGGCUACCCAUUCUGGGCUGCAGCGUCGAAGGACCAGAUAUUUCCUUCUCUCCCAUGA
rnacentral:lncRNA from 1 species